UACGUAGGGGGCGAGCGUUGUCCGGAUUCAUUGGGCGUAAAGCGCGGGCAGGCGGCCUGGUAAGUCGGCCGUGAAAGUCGGGGGCUCAACCCUCGAAUGCCGGUGGAUACUGUCGGGCUAGAGUGCGGAAGAGGCGAGUGGAAUUCCUGGUGUAGCGGUGAAAUGCGCAGAUAUCAGGAGGAACACCUAUUGCGAAGGCAGCUCGCUGGGACGUAACUGACGCUGAGACGCGAAAGCGUGGGGAGCAAACAGG
rnacentral:rRNA from 1 species